rnacentral:rRNA from 1 species
GAUGAACGCUGGCGGCGUGCUUAAUACAUGCAAGUCGAGCGAACGGACGUGAAGGGAGGUUCUCGGGUGUUGGAGGCGGACGGAAGAGGAGGGCGUUGUGAACUUAACUAUAAGAUUGGGAUGGGUUCCUGGAACUGAUGCUAGUUCCGGAUGAUAUUUUGAGCGGCAGGGGGAAAGUGUGAAAGGUGUUCUUUCUGUCAGUGGUAGAUCUGUCCGCGCUGCAUUAGCUAGCUGGUAAGGUAACGGCUUACCAAGGCAACGAUGCCUAGCCUACCUGAGAGGGUGAUCGGCCACACUGGAACUGAGAGACGGUACAGACUCCUACGGGAGGCAGCGGUAGGGACUCUUCCGAAAUGGGCGGAAGCCUGACGGAGCAACGCCGCGUGAGUGCUGAAGGUCUUCGGAUCGUAAAACUCUGUUAUUAGGGAAGACCAUAUGUGUAAGUAACUGUGCACAUCUUGACGGUACCUAAUCAGAAAGCCACGGCUAACUACGUG